rnacentral:ncRNA from 1 species
AUUUUAUCAUGGUACGAGAUUUAUCCCAAAGCUUAAAUACAUAGUACUUAUUGGGUUAAGAGAAAAUAGGGCCAAGCCGGAGUUUCCGGUUUUUCCGCCAGCUAGAAUGGUUUUUUCGACAUUAGUAUAAAUUAUUAGGCAACACAAGAAAUUGUGGCCUAGAAGCUUUGGGUGAGAGUGGCUAAAAUGAAUGCCAGCAGCCGCGGUUAUAUUCAUGCUUUGUUAAAUCUUGACGGUUUUAUUAGAUGCAUUUUACAAAUAGCUUUAGUCGGUACGUAAUCGGGGUACAAUCCUUUUUUUGAGCACUUCGAUCAAAAAAAGUUGUGAUGUUUCUUAUGAAAGUAUGUGUAAAAACCGGGAUUUGAUACCCCGUUAUUCAUAAGGUAAAAUAAGAUUACCAGAUGACUAAAAGUUGGUUCUUCAAAGUUAAAUGAAUAGGCGGCCUCCAACAAACAUACAGGGGAAUCUGGGAGUUAAAAGAUGAUCCGCUUACAUUUGCUCUUUUUCUUAUUUUUGCAUAUGUAUGGUUGUUUAUGAAUCGAUACGCGUAAGAUAUCGGUGUAAUUUUCAUAAUUAAAAGUUGUGAGAAAUAAUUCAGAUUGACAUGUAGCUAUGAAAAAGCCAUCCUGGAUGACAAUUGGGAAAUCAUUUAUAUACUAAUUAAAGUGUGUAUCGUCGGCCAAGAAAGUUGAAAAACUUUCUUGAAAGAAGGACUUGUGAGUAAGUUUAUUAAAUAAUAGUAAGCUGAAAAGGACACUGGAGGAGUACUAAUCGCCCGUCGCUCACGGAGAAAUCUGAGAUAAGUCGUAACAAGGUAACGGUACCGGAAGGUGUUGUUAAUUAGCUAAUAA